rnacentral:rRNA from 1 species
CGGCCGCGGUAUCCUGACCGUGCGAAGGUAGCAUAAUCACUUGUUCUUUAAAUAAGGACUAGUAUCAACGGCAUCACGAGGGUUAUACUGUCUCCUCUCUCCAAUCAGUGAAACUGAUCUCCCCGUGAAGAAGCGGGGAUAAAUAUAUAAGACGAGAAGACCCCAUGGAGCUUUAAACUCAACAACAACUUCCCCUACAAAAUCCUACAUAACCCUGGAAAGUACUGUUUGUUAGUUUUGGGUUGGGGUGACCGCGGAGAAAAAUUAAACCUCCACGACGAACGGAACUAACUCCUAAUCUAAGAGCCACCGCUCUAAGAAUCAAUAAAUUGACAUAAAUGAUCCGAUAAUCGAUCAACGAACCAAGUUACCCUGGGGAUAACAGCGCAAUCCAUUUCAAGAGCUCCUAUCGACAAAUGGGUUUACGACCUCGAUGUUGGAUCAGGGUAUCCCAGUGGUGCAGCCGCU